rnacentral:rRNA from 1 species
CUGCCCACUGAUAAUAGUGUUUUAAAGGGCCGCGGUAAUUUGACCGUGCAAAGGUAGCAUAAUCGUUAGUUUUUUAAUUGGAAUCUUGUAUGAAUGGUUUGACAAAAGAAAAUCUGUCUCUAUCUUUUUCUUUGAAUUUAACUUUUAAGUGAAAAGGCUUAAAUAGUUUAAAAAGACGAUAAGACCCUAUAAAGCUUUAUAAAUUGUUUGUUAUUAAGCUGAAUUGGUAAAUAAUAGUUUAGUAAGGAAAGUUUAUUUUAUUGGGGCGAUAGUGGUAAAAUGUUUAUUAACUGUUAAAAUUUUAAGACAAAUAUAGUUGAGUAAAGUUGUAUAAAUUGAUCCUGAAAUACAGAUUAAAAGUUUAAGUUACUUUAGGGAUAACAGCGUUAUUUUUUUUGAGAGUUCAUAUCGAAAAAAAAGUUUGCGACCUCGAUGUUGAAUUAAAAUGUCUG